rnacentral:tRNA from 1 species
AGUUAAUUAGUUUAAAAAAAACAUAUAUUUUGAAAAUAUAAAUUAGAUUAAUUUAUUAACUU